rnacentral:rRNA from 1 species
AUGUUCAACAAGAAGCAUGAUGUCCUCCCUCGGAUAAGUGACUUUGACAAAGCAACCAUGAAAAAUAUGAUAACUAUGUCAACUGACAUUGGCACCAGCGUCCUGUCAUUUUACAACUGUAAGUUCCGCCGUGACGAUGACGUAUGCUAUACUCGACAGAAGCAUCCAGAAUGCGAUCCUGAAAUCAACAUCCAAGGAGCAGGCGUUGGCAAUGACGACGUAUGUAUUGGUGAUGAUACGGCAGCAGUGGCAAUGGGAGUGAAUGAAUCAUCUUCGUCGGUUGCUCCCAAUCUGGAUGUGCGAACACCUCUUCGCGCCCUUGGGCCAAUUGAUUUUGCGCAGCAUCUACAAAGGCGGUACCCUAGCAUGGCAUCGCAUCUUAUAUCUAUUUUGUUGAGGGAGCAGAAUGCCCGGUGCCAGCGCGAAAUAAAUACAGCCCGUGCUAAUAUCCAGGCUGACAUGAUCAAGUUUGUCGAUAAACUCAUGGAUGCACUCAGCACAAGGUUGGAGGUGCUGAGGACUCCUGCAGGUCCUAAAAUUUCUGGAGUGAAACUUGAUAUGUCGGCAUGCUCCGAUGGCAACCCCACGGUAAGGAGGAGGCGUGAUGAAUCGACAUCUCACCAGCAGGAAAAGAGGCAGCGGACUGCCGAAUCGACUAUGAUAAUUCUCAGAGAUCAAAUUGAAUGCUUUGUUAAACAUGUGCUGCAACAGAUUUCUGAGUUGUUCAUUGACCUCCCAGAUGAUGGGAGCACCACUGUAUUUGGGGAGAGGACGAAUGGACUCCCAGGACGCAAAUAUGUCUAUAGGCCUGGUUUCCAGACUGACCCCUGGACAAGGGGUGUUGUCCCUUACCCGCCAACGCCAGCGGUUACGGACCUUUUAGUUGAGUUCUUUGCCACGUCAUCAGCUCACCACCUGUCAAGGAACUUUCUUGUUCAUGAGAAACCUCGGUUCAUACGCAUAUCAGGGGUCACAUUGAAAGAACAGCUGGUCGGGGAUGCGGCAAUCGAUCAUGAGCUCAUGUCCAUCAUCAUCUGUCGUUAUACCCAGGUGGACCAGGAAGCUGAUAAGGAAUCACCGUAUCUCUCAUGGAGGCACCCAAUUGAACCUGAGUUCUCGACUUUUGUCUUAUCGGAUUUCGAUUAUCUGCACACAAAGUCGAUUCAGAACCAGCUAUGUGCUAAUGAUCUGAAGUAUGAUAUUACAUCAUCACAGCUGUUCUUCACUCUCGUGCCCAGGCCUGAAGGUUGGAUGGUGGUUUUCUGGGACAUGAUCAAACGGUUCAUCACCGUCAUCGAUCCUUUAUACACCAGGCAAUGCCCACAGCCUCCAACACAGCAGCGAGAUGAGAUAAUUGCCUGGAAGCUUCACUAUGCACUGUUCCACUGCCUUAAUGAAUACUAUGCUGGAUGGCCAACAAGCAAAGGUGGUUGGACUGUGAAGUUCAUGCCAGUCAGUGACAACAUAGUUACUCGAGAUGAAACUGGUGCUUGCAUCAUCCAUAUUGCUCGCCAAUUUGAUGGGGAAAAGCUCAAGUUGCCCAUCACGAAGCACAACAUAGCGAAAGUGAAUCGGGAAGCAGUACACCAGUGCAUGAAGCUCCAGGGCAAAUUAUCAUCACUUGCAGGAGACGCACUUUGGCAUGUCCUCGCUCCAUCAGACUCUCCUUUCGACUCCACUUGA